rnacentral:rRNA from 1 species
UACGUAGGGGGCUAGCGUUGUCCGGAAUCACUGGGCGUAAAGCGCACGUAGGCGGCUUCUUAAGUCAGGGGUGAAAUCCUGGAGCUCAACUCCAGAACUGCCCUUGAUACUGAGGAGCUUGAGUCCGGAAGAGGAGUGUGGAAUUCCUGGUGUAGCGGUGAAAUGCGCAGAUAUCAGGAGGAACACCAAUGGCGAAGGCAGCACUCUGGGACGUGACUGACGCUGAGACGCGAAAGCGUGGGGAGCAAACAGG